rnacentral:lncRNA from 1 species
AAAAGAAGCUAUGUAUCAUUGUAAACCAAAUUUAAAGUUGUUGGAAGGCCUUCAAACUGCAUCUAAGUUUGUAAAGUUUGUCUAAAAUAGUAGUGAGCCCAACAUCCAAGAAACAGAAUCGCUCAUACCAUUGCUUGGUAGGUUGGUUUCAUUACAAAUCAUACUACAAAUCUCUCACACCAUGCUUUAAAACCUCUCAAAACAAAGAAACAGAAUCAACAACAAUAGUUAAUAUAUAGAGCAACCUUCCAUUUUCAUUCUCCUCCUUAGUUGCCUUCCAAAAAAAUGAAUGCGUUAAAAAAUGAUUGGGAGAGGAANNNNNNNNNNNNNNNNNNNNNNNNNNNNNNNNNNNNNNNNNNNNNNNNNNNNNNNNNNNNNNNNNNACCAAAAGAUAAUAUGAAAAAAAACAUUAUAGAAUCUAAUAGGGGGGACAUCAUAGAGUUUUAUAAAAAAUGGGACAAAGAUGAUGAUCUUUUGAAGGAAAGACAAUCUUCCUAAAGAUUUACAUUACUAAACUUAUAUUAACCAAUCUUCCUAAAGAUUUGGGACAAAGAAAAAAUGAGAGAAGCUAAGCAUAUAUUAACCAAAAUAUAUUUGUUACCUAUCUUCCUAAAGAUGAUAGAUCCUAAGUAGUAGAUUAAGAGAAUCUAGAAUAACCAUUCUGUUGAUCAUCUUGUCAUAUAGAUGAGGGAUUCUUUCAUAAACCUUCAAUCAAACAACAUACUAAAAACCAUAAAAUUAACAACAAACUAACAAUAAAAUUAACAGCUAAAAUGGUUAUCAAUCAAUACAGAAGAAAACAUAAACACCCUUAAAGAGCUAAUAAGGCAAACAAUUAUCCAAAAAACCAGCAAACUACUAACCAAAAACCAUUGAACCAGCAACCAAAAUCCAGAAAGUAUAAAAAUUAUAAAAUAAAAUAAAAUACCCUGAUUCAUGUACUUAUUGUGAUUGUGAAAAAAUAAAAUAACCUUGAUUGAAAUUAGGAACACCAAUUAAGGCAAACAUUGAAAUCAAUGGAAUUAGAAAUACAAUUAUUAUAGUAAAAUAUUUAAACAAUAAUUUAUAAAAUUAAAAAGCAUACCUUGUGAAGCCCUUUGAGCAUUCCUUUAUGAAGAUAACCUGCAUAUCAAUAUCAAUUGACAAAAGAAAAUGCAGACAGAACAAAAAUUAAUGUUAAAAACAAAUAUUGGAUACAUAUAAAUGGUGAAACCCAAUCAAAAUUCAAAAUCCGAAAAUCAAAAUAAAUUUUGCAGUCCCAAAUGGACCUAGAAAUCAUCUAACAACCCCUUCAUCAAUCACUUAAAUACAAAAUAAAAAAUGAAAUAAAACUGAGCUAGGAGACAUAGAGUAGAGAAAGAGAAGUACCGUCAAAUUCCAACAACAACUCGAGCUUAAAUAUAUCAUCUGCAAACAACCCAUGAAUCGUUUAAAUACAAAAAGAAAACCAAAGAAAGAUCCAGAAAAUCAAGAGUGAUACCUACACUUUGGGAGAACAUGAUUCGAAUUUGGUGAAUGAAACUUUUACCUCAUGAUGCGAGAAUGUGAAAAACAAAAUAAAAAGAGGAUUAGAAAAUUAGGGAUCCUAAA